rnacentral:rRNA from 1 species
GUCCACGCCGUAAACGAUGGAUACUAGCUGUUCGGAGCAAUCUGAGUGGCUAAGCGAAAGUGAUAAGUAUCCCACCUGGGGAGUACGUUAGCAAGAAUGAAACUAAAGGAAUUGACGGGGCCCGCACAAGCGGUGGAGCAUGUGGUUUAAUUCGAUGAUACGCGAGGAACCUUACCAAGGCUUAAAUGUAGAUUGACCGGUUUGGAAACAGAUCUUUCGCAAGACAAUUUACAAGGUGCUGCAUGGUUGUCGU